AAAAGCGGCCCGGGUGCCUGCCCCUUCCUUCCCCGCUGUCCUUCCCCAUGCUGCUGCCCUGUGGUCCCCGCACCUUCCCUGGCCCCGGGAAAGGGGCCCUAUGGGACCACCGAGGGGCGGGGGGCUGCGGGCAGGAAAGUCGCUGGCCCUUGCCUGGGGGCCAGUGGGCGCCUGUCCGUGAGGCUACCCCUUGCCCCACUCUCCCUCACCCAAGGAGCAUGGC
rnacentral:misc_RNA from 1 species